rnacentral:lncRNA from 1 species
GUUGUGGGCAUAACAUCUAAUGUUCAGUGGUGUCCUGAUGAAAUCAAAUUGGGUUAAAUGAAGCUUAAGUGCCUGCCCCUGAAAGAUCCUCAACCUAAGGUCAGAAACCUAAUUAUUGUCACCAGAAGGGACUGACUACGGGAAACACACGGCCCUAGACGAUUUGGAAAGUGUUUUAGUAAAAAAGUGGAUUUCUCAUUCAUCUGUAGAAUAAAUGCUUCUGGCAGAGCUCUCGCCCGCAAAAUUCCCUCUACUAAUCUUUAAGAAGAAUCGAGGAUCGCCUUAUCUGAAUAUGAAACCUGCAUCCAGACUCAAAAAAUCCAGACGCAGAAGUAGAAAAGUACUUCGGAAUCUAAGGAGUACAAUUGCAGAAUUUCUCGACACAGUGAGCACAAGAAGGUAAAAGAAUGAGACAACAUCAGAGCUCAAAGGACUGCUGAGAAUGGCUCCCUCCCAGCUCAGCUUCCUCCUGUUUCCUGUGUGGUGACUGUGGCCCAGAGAAUUUGGGUCGUCUGCACAGUACCUGGCCCCCUCUCUCUCGCAGCAGACUGGUUGUGGAAAAUGGUUAACCCACAGACUCUAUAUCAGUUUCUUUUGCUCUAUCUCCAAUUCACACAGUUUGCAAAGAACCUGCAGCCAGUAGGUUAAGACAAUCAUGAGUUGUCCAGCAUGGAAAGGCAAAAACAGUCGUGGAAUGAAACAAAGCUAUCAAUGCUGCUCUGAACAGAUAUUUAACUUUCUUUGAGACUUCAAAGAAAAAAAUGAAUUAACUCAUUUCAAAUUUGUUUAGAUUGGUUUGGAAUCUUUUUCUUUAUCUUACUGUCUCCUUGGCCCUUAUAUCUCAACUCUGGCACCACCCUCCUUAGAUUUCUUUCCUUCUUCUUUCUUGACUUGACGUGCUUAUGAAUCAGUGUGUUAACUUGACAAGUUUCUGUGAUUCCAAGUUCCCUAGAUUCUCCAUGGAGAGAUACAUCUUAUUUCCUACUGACCUCAAAUAAUUAAAAUAGGACUGGGACCAUUACUCAAAAC